rnacentral:misc_RNA from 1 species
GAAAUUUCCGAUUCAGGAGGAAUGGAGAAAAUGAAGUACACCGACCCUAAAACGAUCGUCCCCCCUAAAAACUUGGACGAGUUAAUAGAAGAACUGCACAAAGUGUUUGACAGUGACCAUGUGAACGUUGAAUAUGUGACGGAGUUGAUGGCCUCGUACAAAAGUAACCCAAAAGAUUGGAAGAAAUUCGCCAUCUUCGACCUCCAUAGAUAUACGAGGAACUUGGUGGACGCAGGGAACGGAAAGUUCAAUCUGAUGGUGUUGUGUUGGAACACAUCACAGGGGUCAGCCAUCCACGACCACGCAAACGCUCACUGUUUCAUGAAAGUUCUGGACGGCCACUCGCAAGAGGAACUGUUUGAAUGGCCGCCGGGGAGCGAGGAUGACGGGGAAAUGAAGUCAAAGGGGAAAAAAUUGUACGAGAGGGAUCAAGUAGCCUAUAUCAGUGAUACUAUUGGUCUUCAUCGAGUGGAAAAUCCCAGCCACUCCGACACAUCGGUCACGCUUCAUCUGUACUCUCCGCCCUUCAGCGAGUGUCAGAGCUUCGACGAGAGAACGGGAAAUGCUCGCAAGGUUCAAGUCACGUUCUGGAGCCAGUUUGGAAAGCGAACACCAUGUGCAAAGUUACCAAGUUCCUGUGUUCCUGAGAACAAUUAAACCUUCUACCAUUGAAGAGUUACACAAAAGGUGAACAACUCCUGAGUAAUCACCUGUGUGUUACUUUGAACAUUGUGCAAGGAAACCGAAAGAAAUGAAGAGCAGAUACAUUGCGACUUGUGUCAGAACAAAAUAUUGCAAACCUUUGUAUAAACUCGUGUUAAAAUUAGGAAUUUAAAAAGAAAAGGGAUGCUUUAAAAUGUUUUCAGUUGCAAUGUUAUAUUUGCUUUAAGAAGCCACAAAUAUGCAUAGCAAUGAAUUUUUUGUUGCAUUUUUUUUAUUUGAUUCUGUGUUUGAAUCUAAAAGUAGAUUUGCUUUUGAAGAUGUAUGUAAUCAGAGUGUAUACAACAUUUAAAAAUGUGGUCACUAAACUUGAAGGCUUUAACAUCAUAUCUAUCUAUUAACAUGCUUGCAAAUGUAUAUAUAACUCAAAGAGUAUUAUUACAUGUAUUCCGGAACUUUUGUUGUUAAGAUUUGUUAGCUAUUUUUACUCUAAACCUGUUUUUUUUUUUGUGUACAAGGGUAAAUGAACUUCAUUAAUCUUUAUGAAAGCUUUGUAUAAAUGUACAACAAAUUUAUUUUUGUUCAUUUCUAUUUUUCUUUUUUUUUACACUAAGUGGGUAUAUUUCAAAUUUUCUAAUAGAACUUUGAUUUCCUCUCUCUGUCUCUGUCUCUCUCUCUCUCAGUUCUGUAACAGUUUGGUUUUAAAAUUAGAAUGUGGUAGAAGUAGGCGUAAUAUGUGGCUUAGAUGUGGUGCACAAUUUUUAGUAGAUAUUUGCAUUAAUUGGUGUCAUCUUGCAGUUUGACUGCAACUUUAACCUGACUAUUUGGGUACAUGCACUUGGUAUUAAAAUAUAACCAAUUGAAAGAUGGAUCCAAGAGAGGCCCCUUAAAGGGGGAUUUUUUGGCGCGAACUCCCAAAUGUCCUUUGACAUUGGUACUCAAGAGUGAUAUUUCACUCAGUGACUCUUCUUGAAUAUGUUCCUUAAGAAUGAUGAAUUUCAUGUUAACUUUCAUAUUGACAAUAUAUAUGCUAUAUAAAGCUAAUUUCAGUUUAAUAUGUAUGUUCUUUAUCUACCUUUUUAAUGACACAGGUAUUUUUGUUGGCAUUUUGAUUUGCUCAAACUUUUAUAUGAAUGUUAAAUUAAAGAAAUAUAAAAACAC